AAGUCGUAACAAGGUUUCCGUAGGUGAACCUGCGGAAGGAUCAUUACAUUCAGUAGCCUAGCUACUUGUUUACACCCUUGUUUUUUGCGUACCUAAUUGUUUCCUCGGUGGGCUUGCCUGCCGGUUGGACAAAACCUAUAACCUUUUUAAAUCUUCAAUCAGCGUCUGAAUUAUACAUAAUAAUUACAACUUUCAACAACGGAUCUCUUGGUUCUG
rnacentral:misc_RNA from 1 species